UACAGAGGGUGCAAGCGUUAAUCGGAAUUACUGGGCGUAAAGCGUGCGUAGACGGUUAUCUAAGUCGGAUGUGAAAUCCCCGGGCUCAACCUGGGAAUUGCAUUCGAGACUGAAUAGCUAGGGUGCGGAAGAGGGAAGCGGAAUUUCCGGUGUAGCAGUGAAAUGCGUAGAUAUCGGAAGGAACAUCAGUGGCGAAGGCGGCUUCCUGGUCCAGCACCGACGUUCAGGCACGAAAGCGUGGGGAGCAAACAG
rnacentral:rRNA from 1 species